UUUGGAAAUAACUGCUGAGCUGAGAAAGAGCGCUUUAGGAACAUACGAAUGUUGUCAACUUUACACGGAAGGAGGAGAAUGAACGGAAAAGAAAACAUUUUUCCGAUUAUGAACGACGGAGAUCAACUUUAGUGCAACUUAUUCAGCUAAUACAUACAGUAUAACUCAAUGAUUAUGACGCUACGUUGAGGACGGCGCGUAGAUA
rnacentral:lncRNA from 1 species